AUUGAACGCUGGCGGCAUGCCUUACACAUGCAAGUCGAACGGUAACAGGUCUUCGGAUGCUGACGAGUGGCGAACGGGUGAGUAAUACAUCGGAACGUGCCUAGUAGUGGGGGAUAACUACUCGAAAGAGUGGCUAAUACCGCAUGAGAUCUACGGAUGAAAGCAGGGGAUCGCAAGACCUUGUGCUACUAGAGCGGCCGAUGGCAGCUUAGGUAGUUGGUGGGAUAAAAGCUUACCAAGCCGACGGUCUGUAGCUGGUCUGAGAGCACGAUCAGCAAAGCGAGGACUGAGAAACGGCCCAAACUCCUACGGGAGGCAGCAGUGGGGAAUUUGGGGCAAUGGGCGCAAGCCUGAUCCAGCAAUGCCGCGUGCAGGAUGAAGGCCUUCGGGUUGUAAACUGCUUUUGUACGGAACGAAAAGCCCCGGGUUAAUACCCUGGGGUCAUGACGGUACCGUAAGAAUAAGCACCGGCUAACUACGUGCCAGCCGCCGCGGUAA
rnacentral:rRNA from 1 species